rnacentral:rRNA from 1 species
GUGCCAGCAGCCGCGGUAAUACGAAGGGGGGCUAGCGUUGCUCGGAAUCACUGGGCGUAAAGGGUGCGUAGGCGGGUCUUUAAGUCAGGGGUGAAAUCCUGGAGCUCAACUCCAGAACUGCCUUUGAUACUGAAGAUCUUGAGUCCGGGAGAGGUGAGUGGAACUGCGAGUGUAGAGGUGAAAUUCGUAGAUAUUCGCAAGAACACCAGUGGCGAAGGCGGCUCACUGGCCCGGUACUGACGCUGAGGCACGAAAGCGUGGGGAGCAAACAGGAUUAGAUACCCUGGUAGUCC